CCUACGGGUCGCACCAGUGGGGAAUAUUGGACUAUGGGCGAAAGCCUGAUCCAGCAAUGCCGCGUGUGUGAAGAAGGUCUUCGGAUUGUAAAGCACUUUCGACGGGGACGAUGAUGACGGUACCCGUAGAAGAAGCCCCGGCUAACUCCGUGCCAGCAGCCGCGGUAAUACGGAGGGUGCAAGCGUUAAUCGGAAUUACUGGGCGUAAAGCGCACGCAGGCGGUUUGUUAAGUCAGAUGUGAAAUCCCCGGGCUUAACCUGGGAACUGCAUUUGAGACGCAUAGACUAGAGGUCGAGAGAGGGUUGUGGAAUUCCCAGUGUAGAGGUGAAAUUCGUAGAUGUUGGGAAGAACACCGGUGGCGAAGGCGGCAACCUGGCUCGAUACUGACGCUGAGGCGCGAAAGCGUGGGGAGCAAACAGGAUUAGAUACCCUAGUAGUC
rnacentral:rRNA from 1 species